ensembl:lncRNA
CUCCAUUGUCCGAAGGGAACUACGUGUAAGAUGGUGGAUGGACAUCCCCAGUGUGUCCAAAAUCAACCUACCUGCAGUGACAUCCAGUGCCAGAAGGGAUCCACAUGCCAGAUGGUGGAUGGUUGGCCACGGUGUGUCCAACCCAAGAUGACAAAAAGGCAACAUUCCUGCAGGGACGUGCAGUGUCCCAAAGGGACCUCAUGUCGGAUAAGAGAUGGAUGGCCCCACUGUGUGCAGAACCAGCCCUCCUGCCAGGAUGUCCAAUGUCAGAAGGGAACGGAGUGUGUGAUGGUGGAUGGUUGGCCACAGUGCGUCCAAAUUAAGACUUCCAUCAGGAGACCCACCUGUAGUGAUGUCCAUUGUUCCAAGGGGACUGUGUGUGAGAUGGUGGAUGGAUGGCCUCAAUGUUUGCAACCCAAGGUGGUCCCAAAGCAGCCUUCUUGCAAGGACUUUCAGUGUCCCAAAGGGACGUCAUGUAGGAUGACAGAUGGGUGGCCCCACUGUGUGCAGAACCAGCUGUCCUGCCAGGAUGUCCAAUGUCAGAAGGGAACCGUGUGCCAGAUGGUGGAUGGAUGGCCUCAUUGUGUCCAGACGAAGACUUCCAUCAGGAGACCCACCUGCAGUGAUGUUCGGUGCUCCAAAGGGACAGUGUGUGAGAUGGUGGAUGGAUGGCCUCAAUGUGUUCAACCCAAGGUGGUCCCAAAGCAGCUUUCUUGCAAGGACAUGCAGUGUCCCAAAGGGAGCUCAUGUAGGAUGACAGAUGGAUGGCCCCACUGUGUGCAGAACCAGCCGUCCUGUCAUGAUAUCCAAUGUCAGAAGGGAACGGAGUGCCAGAUGGUGAAUGGUUGGCUUCAGUGUGUCCAAAUCAAGACCUCUGUCAGGAGACCCACCUGUAGUGAUGUUCGGUGCUCCAAGGGGACGGUGUGUCAGAUGGUGGAUGGAUGGCCUCAGUGUCUUCAACCCAAGGUGGCCCCAAGGCAACCUUCAUGCAGGGACAUGCAGUGCCCAAAAGGGACCUCAUGCAGAAUGACAGAUGGGUGGCCCCACUGUGUGCAGAACCAGCCCUCCUGCCAGGAUGUUCAGUGUCAGAAGGGAACCGUGUGCCAGAUGGUGGAUGGAUGGCCUCAUUGUGUCCAGAUGAAGAGUUCCAUCAGGAGACCCACCUGCAGUGAUGUUCACUGCUCCAAGGGGACAGUGUGUGAGAUGGUGGAUGGAUGGCCUCAAUGUUUGCAACCCAAGGUGGUCCCAAAGCAGCCUUCUUGCAAGGACAUUCAGUGCCCCAAAGGGACGUCGUGUAGGAUCAGAGAUGGGUGGCCCCACUGUGUGCAGAACCAGCCCUCCUGCCAGGAUGUCCAGUGUCAGAAGGGAACUGUGUGCCAGAUGGUGGAUGGAUGGCCUCAUUGUGUCCAAAUCAAGACUUCCAUCAGGAGACCCACCUGUAGUGACCUACGGUGUUCCAAAGGUUCAGUGUGUGAGACGGUGGAUGGUUGGCCCCAGUGUGUUCAACCCAAGGUGGUCCCAAGGCAGCCUUCUUGCAAGGACAUGCAGUGUCCCAAAGGGACCUCAUGUCAGAUCAGAGAUGGGUGGCCCCACUGUGUGCAGAACCAGCCCUCCUGUCAUGAUAUCCAAUGUCAGAAGGGAAUGGAGUGUCAGACAGUGGAUGGAUGGCCUCAUUGUGUCCAAAUCAAGACCUCUAUCAGGAGACCCACCUGUAGUGAUGUUCGGUGCUCCAAAGGUUCAGUGUGUGAGAUGGUGGAUGGUUGGCCUCAAUGUGUUCAACCCAAGGUGGUCCCAAGGCAACCUUCUUGCAGGGACAUGCAGUGCCCAAAAGGGACCUCAUGCAGAAUGACAGAUGGGUGGCCCCACUGUGUGCAGAACCAGCCCUCCUGCCAGGAUGUCCAAUGUCAGAAGGGAACUGUGUGCCAGAUGGUGGAUGGAUGGCCUCAUUGUGUCCAGAUGAAGACUUCCAUCAGGAGACCCACCUGCAGUGACCUACGGUGUUCCAAAGGUUCAGUGUGUGAGACGGUGGAUGGUUGGCCCCAGUGUGUGCAACCCAAGGUGGCCCCAAAGCAGCCUUCUUGCAACGACAUGCAGUGUCCCAAAGGGACCUCAUGUAGGGUAAGAGAUGGAUGGCCCCACUGUGUGCAGAACCAGCCCUCCUGCCAGGAUGUUCAUUGUCAGAAGGGAACGGAGUGUCUGAUGGUGAAUGGUUGGCCUCAGUGUGUCCAGAUGAAGACUUCCAUCAGGAGACCCACCUGUAGUGACGUUCGGUGCUCCAAAGGUUCAGUGUGUGAGAUGGUGGAUGGAUGGCCUCAGUGUGUCGAACUCAAGGUGGUCCCAAAGCAGCCUUCUUGCAAGGACAUUCAGUGCCCCAAAGGGACGUCGUGUAGGAUGACAGAUGGGUGGCCCCACUGUGUGCAGAACCAGCCCUCCUGUCAUGAUAUCCAAUGUCAGAAGGGAACUGUGUGCCAGAUGGUGGAUGGAUGGCCUCAUUGUGUCCAAAUCAAGACUUCUGUCAGGAGACCCACCUGUAGUGAUGUUCGGUGCUCCAAGGGGACGGUGUGUCAGAUGGAGGAUGGAUGGCCUCGAUGUGUUCAACCCAAGGUGGUCCCAAGGCAGCCUUCUUGCAAGGACAUGCAGUGUCCCAAGGGGUCCUCAUGUAGGAUGACAGAUGGGUGGCCCCAUUGUGUUCAGAACCAGCCCUCCUGCCAGGAUGUCCAGUGUCAGAUGGGAACCGUGUGCCAGAUGGUGGAUGGAUGGCCUCAUUGUGUCCAAAUCAAGACCUCUAUCAGGAGACCCACCUGUAGUGAUGUUCGGUGCUCCAAGGGGACAGUGUGUGAGAUGGUGGAUGGAUGGCCUCAAUGUUUGCAACCCAAGGUGGUCCCAAGGCAGCCUUCUUGCAAGGACAUGCAGUGUCCCAAGGGGUCCUCAUGUAGGAUGACAGAUGGGUGGCCCCAUUGUGUUCAGAACCAGCCCUCAUGCCAGGAUGUUCAGUGUCAGAAGGGAACCGUGUGCCAGAUGGUGGAUGGAUGGCCUCAUUGUGUCCAAAUCAAGACUUCCAUCAGGAGACCCACCUGCAGUGAUGUUCGGUGCUCCAAGGGGACAGUGUGUGAGAUGGUGGAUGGAUGGCCUCAAUGUGUUCAACCCAAGGUGGUCCCAAGGCAGCCUUCUUGCAAGGACAUGCAGUGUCCCAAAGGGAGCUCAUGUAGGAUGACAGAUGGGUGGCCCCAUUGUGUGCAGAACCAGCCCUCCUGCAGUGACAUCUACUGCCAGAAGGGAACUGAGUGCCAAAUGGUCAAUGGUUGGCC